rnacentral:misc_RNA from 1 species
UACAGAGGGUGCAAGCGUUAAUCGGAAUUACUGGGCGUAAAGCGCGCGUAGGUGGUUUGUUAAGUGGGAUGUGAAAGCCCAGGGCUCAACCUUGGAACUGCAUUCCAAAUUGAAAGACUCGAGUACGAUAGAGGGAGGUAGAAUUCAGAGUGUAGCGGUGAAAUGCGUAGAUAUUCUGAGGAGUACCAGUGGCGAAGGCGGCCUCCUGGAUUGAUACUGACACUGCGGCGCGAAAGCGUGGGGAGCAAACAGG